GUCCAAAGCCCUGGUGAAGGACUGAUGAAUUCUCCAGGAAUUGCUCUUCUCCUACUCUGCACGUGGGGAUUCCCCGACUCCUUCCCACCCAGGGUCUCCCCUCCUCAUCAGAUACAGGAGGGAUGCCUGAACCCAGGAUUCCAAGGCAGGUCCGGGAGGCGGCUCACCCCACAACUGGAUACAACACCCCGCUGCCCUCUGGGGGACAAUGCUUCAUUAAGUCUUCAACCUCUCUGUCUCCGGGAACCUGUCCCUGCCCACAUCGCUCUCCUACUGGCCCUGGCGGCCCUCUGGGUCCUGAACGCCGGUGCCGCCAUCACCCCCGCCCGGGAGGCCUCCGAGAGCCGCAGAAGACCGGUCUGCACUGCCGGGGGUCGCUGGCGCCGCCUCCCGGCCUUCGCGGUGGGAGUCGCUCGCGGACCGGGGUCUCCUGCAACCCCUGCAGCCCAGGUCUCAGAUACACCCAAUGUGGCCCCAAGAAAGGCAGAGACAAGCACCGCGGGAGCCUGAGGCCACGUCUCCCUGCAGGGCCAGGGGGCAAGCCCCAUCCCAGGAGUGGAAGAGAGGAGGGGGCCGGGAGGCCCUGGUGGAUGCGACGCAGAAGCAGGCCACGACCGACCGUGCUGCUGCCCUUUGCUGUGGUCCCGCUUUCCUCCGGGAUGUCCCGAGUGGCUUCACUGGAAGUCAUCCUCCUGGAGGACCUGGAGGAGGGAAGCACUGGGCCUCAGGACCUCCAAGCCAAUCAUCUGAGCCUGGGGCUCUCAGGGCUGAGAAAAGACCGGGGUUUUGGGUGUGUGUGCAUGUGUGCCUGUGUGUGUGUGUGUGCCUCUGUGUGUGUGUGCCUCCGUGUGUGUGUAGGCGUGUGUGCCUCCGUGUGUAUCUGUGUGUGUGUGUCUGCAGACCUCAGAGAGGGAGGCUUCACCCUGCGGCCGGAGGAGGUGGUGAACUCAGGGUGCGUCCCCGCCGAGCCUCUCGUGUCCUGCCGCCGCCGCGCGAGGGGCCUGCCUCGGCUACUCCCAGGCGCACAGGGGCCUGAGCCGGCGGGCGCCGAGAACCUGGGCCCAGGGACGGCCUGGACCCCACCGACACUGGCCCAGGAGCGCAGCCUCAGUCUCACUGCCGGGUCGGUUCUGCCCAAGGUCACCGCGCGCCGCUCGGAUUCCCCGCCUCCCGCGCCCCCCGCCUCGUCUCCGAGUCGAGUCUCGGCCUCUCGCCGCCCCCUUUCCCGGAGCCGCUCUCGGGGCUCCAGCUCCCGGAACCGCAGCGUCAGCACAUCCGGGCCUCGCUCGCUUUGGUUCUGAGUUUUCUUAAAUCGUGAAAAUCCAUUUCCCCAAAUGGGCGGGAGCUGAGCUUCGCUUCGUCCAGGGGCGGUCUGCCCGGCCGCCCCCUCCCCACC
ensembl:lncRNA